ACUCCUACGGGGAGGCAGCAGUGGGGAAUAUUGGACAAUGGGGGAACCCGUGAUCCAGCCAUGCCGCGUGUGUGAAGAAGGCCUUAUGGUUGUAAAAGCACUUUAAAGCGAGGAGGAGGCUACUGAGACUAAUACUCUUGGAUAGUGGACGUUACUCGCAGAAUAAGCACCGGCUAACUCUGUGCCAGCAGCCGCGGUAAUACAGAGGGUGUGAGCGUUAAUCGGAUUUACUGGGCGUAAAGCGUGCGUAGGCGGCUUUUAAGUCGGAUGUGAAAUCCCCGAGCUUAACUUGGGAAUUGCAUUCGGAUACUGGGGAAGCUAGAGUAUGGGAGAGGAUGGUAGAAUUCCAGGUGUAGCGGUGAAAUGACGUAGAGAUCGUGGAGGAAUACCG
rnacentral:rRNA from 1 species